GCUUAACACAUGCAAGUCGAACGCAACCUUCGGGUUGAGUGGCGGACGGGUGAGUAACGCGUGAGAAUCUGCCUUGGGGUCGGGGACAACCACUGGAAACGGUGGCUAAUACCGGAUAAGCCUUUGGGUAAAAGAUUUAUUGCCCCAAGAGGAGCUCGCGUCUGAUUAGCUAGUUGGUGAGGUAAAAGCUCACCGAGGCAGCGAUCAGUAGCUGGUCUGAGAGGACGAUCAGCCACACUGGGACUGAGACACGGCCCAGACUCCUACGGGAGGCAGCAGUGGGGAAUUUUCCGCAAGGGGCGAAAGCCUGACGGAGCAAGACCGCGUGAGGGAGGAAGGCUCUUGGGUUGUAAACCUCUUUUCUCAGGGAAGAAGCUCUGACGGUACCUGAGGAAUCAGCCUCGGCUAACUCCGUGCCAGCAGCCGCGGUAAUACGGAGGAGGCAAGCGUUAUCCGGAAUUAUUGGGCGUAAAGCGUCCGCAGGUGGCGAUUCAAGUCUGCUGUCAAAGCACGGGGCUUAACUCCGUUAAGGCAGUGGAAACUGAAUAGCUAGAGUGCCGUAGGGGUAGAGGGAAUUCCCGGUGUAGCGGUGAAAUGCGUAGAGAUCGGGAAGAACAUCGGUGGCGAAAGCGCUCUACUGGACGGCAACUGACACUCAGGGACGAAAGCUAGGGGAGCGAAUGGGAUUAGAUACCCCAGUAGUCCUAGCUGUAAACGAUGGAUACUAGGUGUAGCUUGUAUCGACCCGAGCUGUGCCGAAGCUAACGCGUUAAGUAUCCCGCCUGGGGAGUACGCACGCAAGUGUGAAACUCAAAGGAAUUGACGGGGGCCCGCACAAGCGGUGGAGUAUGUGGUUUACUUCGAUGCAACGCG
rnacentral:rRNA from 1 species